rnacentral:lncRNA from 1 species
CUGAUCAAUCCUUGAUAGAGAAAAUUUAUUUUUUGGAUAGGCUUUGUUGAGGUCGGUGUAGUCAAUGCAUAUUCUUCACUUGCCAUUAGUCUUUUUGACCAUAACAACAUUGGCUAUCCACUUUGGAUAAUGAGCUUCUCUGAUAAAUACUACCUUCAAGAGUUUAUCAACUUUUUCAUCAAUUGUCUUUUAUCUUUCUGGAGCGAAACUCCUCUUUUUCUACUGAACUAGCUUAAACUUUAGAUCAAUAUUUGAUUUAUAAAUAAUUACAUCAGCAGAAAUAUCAGGCAUGUCAAAAGUCGAUCAGAUGAAGACAUCGAUAUUUGUCCAAAGAAACUUGAUUAUUUUGUCCCUC